rnacentral:misc_RNA from 1 species
GGGGAGUCAAAGGGUGGGCGGGAAAAAAAGGUUAGAAAGGACUGGCAUGGCAUUUGAUUGCCAUUGCAAAGAUACCCUUUAGAAAUGGAAGGGUUUUGAUCGCAGUUCAACUGGGUAUUGUUUAGAUAUUCUUGUUGGCAAUUUGAUGGUUGAUGAACUAUGAACAGAAAGAGGUGGAAGAUGAAAAGGCAGUAUAAUGAUGAUG